rnacentral:rRNA from 1 species
GGUUAAGCGACUAAGCGUACACGGUGGAUGCCCUGGCAGUCAGAGGCGAUGAAGGACGUGCUAAUCUGCGAUAAGCGUCGGUAAGGUGAUAUGAACCGUUAUAACCGGCGAUUUCCGAAUGGGGAAACCCAGUGUGAUUCGUCACACUAUCAUUAACUGAAUCCAUAGGUUAAUGAGGCGAACCGGGGGAACUGAAACAUCUAAGUACCCCGAGGAAAAGAAAUCAACCGAGAUUCCCCCAGUAGCGGCGAGCGAACGGGGAGGAGCCCAGAGCCUGAAUCAGUGUGUGUGUUAGUGGAAGCGUCUGGAAAGGCGCGCGAUACAGGGUGACAGCCCCGUACACAAAAAUGCACAUACUGUGAGCUCGAUGAGUAGGGCGGGACACGUGGUAUCCUGUCUGAAUAUGGGGGGACCAUCCUCCAAGGCUAAAUACUCCUGACUGACCGAUAGUGAACCAGUACCGUGAGGGAAAGGCGAAAAGAACCCCGGCGAGGGGAGUGAAAAAGAACCUGAAACCGUGUACGUACAAGCAGUGGGAGCCUCUUUAUGGGGUGACUGCGUACCUUUUGUAUAAUGGGUCAGCGACUUAUAUUCUGUAGCAAGGUUAACCGAAUAGGGGAGCCGAAGGGAAACCGAGUCUUAACUGGGCGUUAAGUUGCAGGGUAUAGACCCGAAACCCGGUGAUCUAGCCAUGGGCAGGUUGAAGGUUGGGUAACACUAACUGGAGGACCGAACCGACUAAUGUUGAAAAAUUAGCGGAUGACUUGUGGCUGGGGGUGAAAGGCCAAUCAAACCGGGAGAUAGCUGGUUCUCCCCGAAAGCUAUUUAGGUAGCGCCUCGUGAAUUCAUCUCCGGGGGUAGAGCACUGUUUCGGCAAGGGGGUCAUCCCGACUUACCAACCCGAUGCAAACUGCGAAUACCGGAGAAUGUUAUCACGGGAGACACUCGGCGGGUGCUAACGUCCGUCGUGAAGAGGGAAACAACCCAGACCGCCAGCUAAGGUCCCAAAGUCAUGGUUAAGUGGGAAACGAUGUGGGAAGGCCCAGACAGCCAGGAUGUUGGCUUAGAAGCAGCCAUCAUUUAAAGAAAGCGUAAUAGCUCACUGGUCGAGUCGGCCUGCGCGGAAGAUGUAACGGGGCUAAACCAUGCACCGAAGCUGCGGCAGCGACACUAUGUGUUGUUGGGUAGGGGAGCGUUCUGUAAGCCUGUGAAGGUGUACUGUGAGGUAUGCUGGAGGUAUCAGAAGUGCGAAUGCUGACAUAAGUAACGAUAAAGCGGGUGAAAAGCCCGCUCGCCGGAAGACCAAGGGUUCCUGUCCAACGUUAAUCGGGGCAGGGUGAGUCGACCCCUAAGGCGAGGCCGAAAGGCGUAGUCGAUGGGAAACAGGUUAAUAUUCCUGUACUUGGUGUUACUGCGAAGGGGGACGGAGAAGGCUAUGUUGGCCGGGCGACGGUUGUCCCGGUUUAAGCGUGUAGGCUGAUUUUCCGUGCAAAUCCGGAAAAUCAAGGCUGAGGCGUGAUGACGAGGCACUACGGUGCUGAAGCAACAAAUGCCCUGCUUCCAGGAAAAGCCUCUAAGCAUCAGGUAACAUCAAAUCGUACCCCAAACCGACACAGGUGGUCAGGUAGAGAAUACCAAGGCGCUUGAGAGAACUCGGGUGAAGGAACUAGGCAAAAUGGUGCCGUAACUUCGGGAGAAGGCACGCUGAUAUGUAGGUGAAGCGACUUGCUCGUGGAGCUGAAAUCAGUCGAAGAUACCAGCUGGCUGCAACUGUUUAUUAAAAACACAGCACUGUGCAAACACGAAAGUGGACGUAUACGGUGUGACGCCUGCCCGGUGCCGGAAGGUUAAUUGAUGGGGUUAGCGGUAACGCGAAGCUCUUGAUCGAAGCCCCGGUAAACGGCGGCCGUAACUAUAACGGUCCUAAGGUAGCGAAAUUCCUUGUCGGGUAAGUUCCGACCUGCACGAAUGGCGUAAUGAUGGCCAGGCUGUCUCCACCCGAGACUCAGUGAAAUUGAACUCGCUGUGAAGAUGCAGUGUACCCGCGGCAAGACGGAAAGACCCCGUGAACCUUUACUAUAGCUUGACACUGAACAUUGAGCCUUGAUGUGUAGGAUAGGUGGGAGGCUUUGAAGUGUGGACGCCAGUCUGCAUGGAGCCGACCUUGAAAUACCACCCUUUAAUGUUUGAUGUUCUAACGUUGGCCCCUGAUCGGGGUUGCGGACAGUGUCUGGUGGGUAGUUUGACUGGGGCGGUCUCCUCCUAAAGAGUAACGGAGGAGCACGAAGGUUGGCUAAUCCUGGUCGGACAUCAGGAGGUUAGUGCAAUGGCAUAAGCCAGCUUGACUGCGAGCGUGACGGCGCGAGCAGGUGCGAAAGCAGGUCAUAGUGAUCCGGUGGUUCUGAAUGGAAGGGCCAUCGCUCAACGGAUAAAAGGUACUCCGGGGAUAACAGGCUGAUACCGCCCAAGAGUUCAUAUCGACGGCGGUGUUUGGCACCUCGAUGUCGGCUCAUCACAUCCUGGGGCUGAAGUAGGUCCCAAGGGUAUGGCUGUUCGCCAUUUAAAGUGGUACGCGAGCUGGGUUUAGAACGUCGUGAGACAGUUCGGUCCCUAUCUGCCGUGGGCGCUGGAGAACUGAGGGGGGCUGCUCCUAGUACGAGAGGACCGGAGUGGACGCAUCACUGGUGUUCGGGUUGUCAUGCCAAUGGCACUGCCCGGUAGCUAAAUGCGGAAGAGAUAAGUGCUGAAAGCAUCUAAGCACGAAACUUGCCCCGAGAUGAGUUCUCCCUGACUCCUUGAGAGUCCUGAAGGAACGUUGAAGACGACGACGUUGAUAGGCCGGGUGUGUAAGCGCAGCGAUGCGUUGAGCUAACCGGUACUAAUGAACCGUGAGGCUUAACCUU